GAUGAACGCUAGCUACAGGCUUAACACAUGCAAGUCGAGGGACCGGCGCACGGGUGAGUAACACGUAUCCAACCUGCCCUUUACUCGGGGAUAGCCUUUCGAAAGAAAGAUUAAUACCCGAUGUAAAGGAUGGGGAUGCGUUCCAUUAGGUUGUUGGUGAGGUAACGGCUCACCAAGCCUUCGAUGGAUAGGGGUUCUGAGAGGAAGGUCCCCGAGAUUGGAACUGAGGCCCAGACCAAACUCCGACGGGAGGCAGCAGUGAGGAAUAUUGGUGAAGGGGCGUUAGCGUGAACCAGCCAAGUAGCGUGAAGGAUGAAGGCUUAUGGGUCGUAAACUACUUUUAUAGAAGAAUAUGUAUUAUAUGAAUAAGCAUCGGCUAACUCCGUGCCAGCAGCCGCGGUAAUAC
rnacentral:rRNA from 1 species